CUUUUUAGUAAAUUACCGAUUUCUACCAAAUUGCAGGCAUAUUUGACCGAUGGUAUAUUGAUUCGUAAUUUUUUCCUAGGACUUCCAAAAUAUUACGAAUGCCCUCAUCACUGCCGAGAUUUUUGCUUAGUAAAUUCCCGAGAUGACACUUUGAAGAAAAAACGUAAUCUCGGUCAAAAUCGGGACCUUAGUAAAUAUACCCCAAUGUGUUUGUUCCUCGCAUCCCUCUCAUACCAACAGACAUGUCAUUUGAAUUCAAGAGAUUGCAAUUUCUAAUCCUGCUCUCUUUUGGAAGAACCAUCAAUAAGGUCCAAGGUCAGUCUUUGAAAGUAGCAGGUAUUGACCUGCAAACACCUUGCUUUUCUUCUGGGCAGUUGUAGGUGGCAUAUUCAAGAGUGGGGGAUUCCAACAUCAUUUUCAUUCUGGCUCCCAAUGGAAAAACAAACAACAUUGUUGAUACCUCAGUGUUGAGGUGACAGUGUCUAAAUACUCCAUAGAAAUGGCAAAUUUGGUCCUUUUUAACAGCUAAAGCCAUGUUAGCAAACACUGGGGUCCUUUUCAGGAUCUAUGGAAUGGAGCUACAGUAUAGGCAAGGACAAAGUUAAAUCUGAAAGCUGAAGAUGUCCUUCAAGGUCCAUUCUUCAAUCCAGUAAUGCUGAGUAUCCCAGCUAGUCAUAAAUAUAUUAAGAAGAAUUAUGUAUUUCAGGUGUAUUUUUAGAUGUACAGUUUGGUAUCUGCGGCGUAUUAGGAAGAGGCUUGUGUGCAGUCUUUGUGAGGCCCACUCCUCUCCUCACGGGACUGCUCACCAUAUUCCCAGGGAUUUUUCUACUGCCCAUGUACAAAUUGCUGAGAAAAUGGCCGCCACACCAUUUUCCUCAGUAUUUUAUGCAGUGCCGCCUCUGCUGAUACGGGAUUCCCAUAAGCAAACACAGGGGGUUUCCAGGUGCCCAGAAGCCCCACUCCCCCACAGCCUGACAGCGCCCACUGCGUGCAGUAUAAAGGGUGGAAUUGAGCUGCAGAGCAUGCCCAUGGGCAGCAGAUUUUACUACCAAGUCUGCUGGGUAUGUGUGUGUGUGGAUCUGAGUGCUCAAUCUCCACACCAGAAAGAGAUCCUGGUAUGUGGCUUACCGCGAUCAUUGUGCCUGCAUAUGUCUGACACACUGUAUUACAUACACUGCACUGUGUAUGGAGCAGACUAUGGCUUGUUUCAUGCACAUUAUACCCCUUCAUGGGCUGGUGGCAAUCUCUCUAAAAGAAGGAUGCAAUCGCAUAGUGAUUGAAAGGUGACGGCUGUCCGGGGGCAGUGACGCACCAUUGGGGGGGAGGAGAGCAGGAAAUUAUGUCAUGGCCAUCUUUGGGGCUGACCGAUAACGUUGCUGCGUAGGUAGGGGUCUACCUCUAUUCGAUGUGAUUGCAAUUCAAUUAUAUUGAACAAUUGAGAGUUCUACAAUAACUCUCUCUUACUUCUGGCAUUGCAGUCCUCAUGACGGUGUGUGGCAUUGUUCCUCCCGGUAGGAAGACCCUCUUGGUUAUCAGGAAAUCCAUAAAUAUGAGAUUAAGGACAGCUGUUAAGAGCUUCUAUACAAAUCACUAAGGACUUCUGUUUCUGAUUUAAGUGUAUAGAACUCCACAAACAUGAAAUCCAGCUAAUUGUUAUUAAGGAACUCCACAAAUAUGAAAUCCAGCUAAUUGCUAUUAAGCUGUGGAAUCCAAUUAGGUCUUAAUCUAUUUAUGUUUUUAGUGAAACUACUUGUCCUUGCUUAUGGUGUUACUCACUAAGUCAUCAUCUAAGAAUGAGAAUCAUUUUAAUAAUUCCUGUCAUCACAAUAUGAGAAUUCUAUUGUCUAAGAACUAGUUCAGUUGUGUGGUGAGGGACAAGAUCUGCUUCCGUUUGUCCACACAUUUUUUAUUACUGGAAGCCACCGGCACUGUUUUUUUCUAUUAGAUUGACCAUAAAUAAUUUGAAUUGGUCCUGAACCUCCAAUCCGAGGCACCCCAGGGAGCACCAGCACACAGUUUGAGUACCACUGGUGAACGGGUAUUCUAUAAUAUUUCAAAUGUUUUUGAAAACAAAAUGCUACAAUUAACCAAACAACAAAGACAAACUUGAGAGUAAAAUAGAAUUUAUUCCAGUUUUAUUUAGAUUCCAAUACAUUUAGCUACACAAUUUUAAAAGAAAAAAAAAUAUUAUACACAAAUAUCUUAAAAAUUUCUAUUUUUAUAAAGUUUUCAUUUUGCUGUUUUUUAAGGUUGUUUAUGAUUGUAGACUUAGCUGUUUGAGAAUAACAUCUGAAACUAUGCUUCCAGCAAUUCCACAUCCACAUAAACCUCAAUACAUAAACUUCUUGCACUUUGGUUUGUAAUUUGAUUCGAGAGCCCAAUCAGGCAAGCUUAAUAAGUUGAAUGUAUAAAAUUAGUUUCUCAUAGAGCCGUGUCUGACACCAUCACCUUCUAGAAUGUGUCUGGCAGCAACUACAUACAGGGCAAGAGUAAGGCUUUUUGGGGCCCCAAUGUAACUAACUUGUGGGGGCCCCUUACUAUAAAAUUGUCAAUAUAUGUUGGCGGGGAAGUUAUUACAAAAUAUAAUGAGUAAAUGCUCCCAACACCACCAACACCCAGCUCCACACUGUAGUGCCCCCAGUUCAUAUUGUACCACGCAGAAACCCCAGUUCACAUAUAUCACAGUGCCCGGGCUCCGGGGUGACCUCCUCAACUGCCCUGUUAAUCUGGAAUGCACAUCACUUUCCUCUCCUGUUGGAGGAACCUAAUCUUUGGUUUAUCUGUUAGUCUCUGGCUCUGGCUACAUUACCAUUCAUGUCAUAAAGCUGAACCUGUCUCACUCCCUAAAAUGCUUUGUGCUGCUGUGAGUAUUCCGACAAUAUGGCUACAGGCUGUUAUCUUCCCACCUAUUUCAUAACUGGGUAUAUACAGUAUAAACUAGCCAGAGGUGGAGACUUAAUUCAAAUGGUCCUCUUGAUUCAAUUAAGUGUCGCACAUGUCCAAAAGCAUACUUAUCUGGCAACAGUUAGCAAACUGUGGAUGCAGGCACCAUACAUUCAAAGGCACCUCAACUGAGACUCCACAUGCUGCCUGUUCUCUCUUCCCAUGAAAUUAGCAUUUAUGGGUGUCAACUGGGCGGCUACCUUGUGAAUGCACACAAGACGUCCGUUCUGUGUAGGUGUCAUGGGUGUGUAGUCAGACUUCUAUGCUAUUAUGAGUGAUGCAUAUGGCUAUGGGAAGAAUGCUCCCUACAGACCUGUUUUGCACCUUGCAUGGGGCACUGAUACUAAUACUGAUGAUUGUGGAUGGAAAAACAGUGAGCAGUACAACUAUCUGCAUGAAGCUACGGAUACUGGCAUUAGCAUUAGGGGAUAAAUCUGGCUGUCCCAGACUGUCUGCGCUUGUGGCCUCUUUCUGUGAGACUUGGAAUCAGUAUAUACACAAUCCAUGAAUUAUCACAAAGGAGGAAUAAUUUGUAAUACAGUAUUAGUUAUAUACCUCAUUUGCAGUAAGUAAAAUAUUCCAAUAUUCCACUGGACUACAAAAAUAAGUACAUACACUUAGGUCCAUAUAC